CAACGCCGACAACGCAAGGAAGGACUGCAAUAAUGGCGUGGCGUUUUUAGUCCUUCCUUGCGUUGUCGGCGUUGCUCCAGCCCUUCUGCUACAGGAUCUAGUGGUGGGGUUGUGAAGUCCACGCGGUUCAGCGUCUUUUAAUUAGACGGUUUGUCUGAUUGUGGGAUGAAGAUGAAGAGAGAAGAGCUGGUGGUGGGUUUGUUGAGGUUUCAGAGCAUUUGUGCGACUGUUAAUGAAGGACAACCCAUUUGACCAUACAACCUUUUUUUUUAAGGGAUGGGAAUUCGAGGAAAAUGUGUAUCUAAUGUUUCUCGCAUGCUA